rnacentral:rRNA from 1 species
CCUACGGGUGGCAGCAGUGGGGGAUAUUGCACAAUGGGGGGAACCCUGAUGCAGCGACGCCGCGUGUGGGAAGACGGUCCUCUGGAUUGUAAACCACUGUCCCCAGGGACGAAAAUGACGGUACCUGGGGAGGAAGCUCCGGCUAACCACGUGCCAGCAGCCGCGGUAAUACGUAGGGAGCGAGCGUUGUCCGGAAUUACUGGGGGAAAGGGGAGCGGAGGCGGGGAUGGAAGUUGGGUGUCAAAACUACCGGCUCAACUGGUAGUCGAACUGAAAACUGUAGCUCUUGAGUGAAGUAGAGGCAGGUAGAAUUCCUAGUGUAGCGGUGAAAUGCGUAGAUAUUAGGAGGAACACCAGUGGCGAAGGCGGCCUGCUGGGCUUUUACUGACGCUGAGGCGCGAAAGUGUGGGGAGCAAACAGGAUUAGAUACCCGGGUAGUC